CGCGUAGGCGGUCUUGUAAGUCAGGUGUGAAAUCCCGGGGCUCAACCCCGGAAGUGCAUUUGAUACUGCAAGACUUGAGUAUGGGAGGGGGAAGUGGAAUUCCUGGUGUAGAGGUGAAAUUCGUAGAUAUCAGGAGGAACACCAGUGGCGAAGGCGACUUCCUGGACCAAUACUGACGCUGAUGCGCGAAGGCGUGGGGAGCAAACA
rnacentral:rRNA from 1 species